GAUGAACGCUAGCGGCAGGCCUAAUACAUGCAAGUCGAGGGGUAGAGAAGAGCUUGCUUUUCUUGAGACCGGCGCACGGGUGCGUAACGCGUAUGCAACCUACCUUUAUCAGGGGGAUAGCCUCUCGAAAGAGAGAUUAACACCGCAUAAAAACACAGUACGGCAGCGUACAAUGCUCAAAUAUUUAUCGGAGAAAGAUGGGGAUGCGUGACAUGAGCUAGUUGGUAAGGUAAGGGCUCACCAAGGCGACGAGGUCUAGGGGAUCUGAGAGGAUGACCCCCCACACUGGUACCGAGACACGGACCAGACUCCGACGGGAGGCAGCAGUAAGGAAUAUUGGUCAAUGGGGGCAACCCUGAACCAGCCAUGCCGCGUGCAGGAAGACGGCCCUACGGGUUGUAAACUGCUUUUAUACGGGAAUAAACCCCUUUACGUGUAAAGGGUUGAAUGUACUGUAAGAAUAAGGAUCGGCUAACUCCGUGCCAGCCGCCGCUGUAA
rnacentral:rRNA from 1 species